UACGAAGGGGGCUAGCGUUGUUCGGAAUUACUGGGCGUAAAGCGCGCGUAGGCGGUUUUGCAAGCCAGAGGUGAAAUGCCUGAGCUCAACUUAGGAAUUGCCUUUGGGACUGCGAGGCUUUGAGGACUGGAGAGGUGAGUGGAAUUCCCAGUGUAGAGGUGAAAUGCGUAGAUAUUGGGAGGAACACCGGUGGCGAAGGCGGCCCCCUGGACCGGUACUGACGCUGAGGCGCGAAAGCGUGGGUAGCAAACGGG
rnacentral:rRNA from 1 species